AGGGGGUGGCGGGUGCUUACACAUGCAAGUCGAACGAUGAUGCCCAGCUUGCUGGGCGGAUUAGUGGCGAACGGGUGAGUAAUACGUGAGUAACCUGCCCUUGACUCUGGGAUAAGCCUGGGAAACCGGGUCUAAUACUGGAUACUACUUCCUGCCGCAUGGUGGGUGGUGGAAAGGGUUUUACUGGUUUUGGAUGGGCUCACGGCCUAUCAGCUUGUUGGUGGGGUAAUGGCUCACCAAGGCGACGACGGGUAGCCGGCCUGAGAGGGUGACCGGCCACACUGGGACUGAGACACGGCCCAGACUCCUACGGGAGGCAGCAGUGGGGAAUAUUGCACAAUGGGCGGAAGCCUGAUGCAGCGACGCCGCGUGAGGGAUGACGGCCUUCGGGUUGUAAACCUCUUUCAGUAGGGAAGAAGCGAGAGUGACGGUACCUGCAGAAGAAGCGCCGGCUAACUACGUGCCAGCAGCCGCGGUAAUACGUAGGGCGCAAGCGUUGUCCGGAAUUAUUGGGCGUAAAGAGCUCGUAGGCGGUCUGUCGCGUCUGCUGUGAAAGCCCGGGGCUCAACCCCGGGUCUGCAGUGGGUACGGGCAGACUAGAGUGCAGUAGGGGAGACUGGAAUUCCUGGUGUAGCGGUGAAAUGCGCAGAUAUCAGGAGGAACACCGAUGGCGAAGGCAGGUCUCUGGGCUGUUACUGACGCUGAGGAGCGAAAGCAUGGGGAGCGAACAGGAUUAGAUACCCUGGUAGUCCAUGCCGUAAACGUUGGGCACUAGGUGUGGGGGACAUUCCACGUUUUCCGCGCCGUAGCUAACGCAUUAAGUGCCCCGCCUGGGGAGUACGGCCGCAAGGCUAAAACUCAAGGAAUUGACGGGGGCCCGCACAAGCGGCGGAGCAUGCGGAUUAAUUCGAUGCAACGCGAAGAACCUUUACCAAGGCUUGACAUUCCACCGGACCGCCCCAGAGAUGGGGUUUCCCUUCGGGUCGGUUGAACAGUGGUGCAUGGUUGUUCGUCAGCCUCUGUCGUGAGAUUGUUGGGUUUAAGUUCCCGCAACGAGCGCUACCCUCGUUCUAUUGUUGCCAGCCACGUGAUUGUUGGGACUCCAUAGGAAGACUGCUGGUCAACUCGACGAUGUUGGAUUGACGUCAAUCAUCAUUGCCUUAUGUCUUGGGCUUCAGCAUGCUAACAAUGCCGGAACAAGGUUGCGAAAUUCUGUGAGGGUGAACCUAUCCAAGUCGUUCCAUUCGAUUGAGGUUCGAACUCGAACUCUAUGUAGAAUCGUGA
rnacentral:rRNA from 1 species